CCGGCUGAGCUGCUGGCGCCUUACACCGGCGAUAUCGUUGCGGAAGGGGUCAGUAAGGUCUUUCGCUCCGGAGCUCGUUUUCUGCUGCACGGCGCUCAGCGUCAGCAGGCGGUAUGUCGCUGAAGCGCUGACCGAAGAGUGGCGUAUGGCGCCUGGGCCGCUGGAAAUGGCCUGGUUUGGCGAAGAGACCGCGGCUGUGGAACGCGCGCUUUCCGCACUGGAAAAACGGCUGGAAACGCUGGAGGGCAAAUGA
rnacentral:sRNA from 1 species